GGUUAAUUUUAUUACGUAAAUAUCAAGAUCCGCCGAGACUAUAUUAACUUAUGGUUAGCACUGUCAAAACGGUUUGACAGUUCGGUUUCGGUUCGAUUUGAAAUCGGUUCGCUAGUUAAUCGGGUCGGUUUGGAAUCGGUUUAAUUGUCUCGCGGGUCGGUUUUGGUUCGAUUUAAAUAGUUAUCGGUUCGAUUCGGUUUCGGUUUAUUCUUAAGCGGUUUUAAUUCGGUUCGGGUUGUAAACAGUCCGGGUAGUAAACGGUUCGGUGCAGGCGGGUUGCGGUUUGUUAACGGUGCGGUGUAAACGGUUUUUUUCCCGGUUCAAACUGUUUCGGGUUGGAAACGGUUUCGGGUUAGAAACAGUUCGGUUCUUUUUUUGUUCAGUUUAUAACUGGUUCGGAUUUUUUUCGGUUCAGCUUUUAACUGGUUCGAUUCUUUUUCGGUUCAGUUUAUAACUGGUUCGGUUCUUCGAUGGUUUAACCACUUUAACAUAAUUCAUAUCGGUUCCAUUUCAAGUUUACUAAAUUACGGUUCGGGUCGGUUUUCGGUUUUAAAAAAUAAAUUGUUUAUUGAGUUGUUUGGAUUCGGGCAGUUAAAUGGCUUUGGUUUGAAAUUUGAUAGUACUUGCUAACCUUUUGCGUUCACAAGUUUUAUAUAAAGUUGGCAAGUCGCGAAUCAUUUCAUAUUUAGGCAUCAUAUUAUAAACAAAUUCUCAUUGAUUUUAUAAAUACAUAUUAUUUUCUGUUUCAAGUUUAGUCAUACCGAUUUUACUAGUUUAUUACGAAGUAGAUUAUAAGAGUUAGUGUAUUAAUGUAUUAUUGUUAUAUAAUUAGGUUAUUAUAUGCUUCUUAUUUAAUCAUUUAUAUACUACACAUACUAUCAUAUAUAAUCAUGAUUUGAUGAGUUCUUGACUUCUUGUGAAAUGGAAAUUUGCAAUUUGGUAAUUCGAUACUUGAUUAGUCAACAAGACUGAUAAUUAUGACUCGUUUAUCAUUAUAUAUUUUCAUGAAAUUAUGAAGAUAUAACAAAGUGCUUUGAUUUGUAUAAUGAAAGAAAACACUAAUGACUAAGUAACAAGGUAAUAUUGAUUAGUUCAAUCGAUCAUAUGUACACAUUAUUAACACAUGACAUCUAACCAUCUCAUAGAUAAAUAUUCGUAUCAUCGUUAUUCAUAUGUAUUAGUACAAAGUUAUAGACUCAUUAGUGAUCUUUUUAAAUUUAUCUAUUUAUACAUUUUAUUAAUAUAAUGUUUUUAUAAUUUUUACGUGUAUGAAAAUAAAGAUAUACUAGUAGAUGUUUUAAUACGUGUCUUGGGCACUGAUCCCAAUCAAAUGGGGCAAAAAAAUACUAAAGAAUUGAGGGAAUAAUAUUUUUGUAGAUGAAUGUACAACACACAAACACACACGGAUUACCAUUCUCAACCAUAGAUUAAAAAAUCAAUGGUUAGAUUCUUUCUCCCACAACACACACGGAUCACCACUCUCAACCAUAGAUUAAAAAAAUCAAUGGUUAGAUUCUUUCUCCCACAACACACACGGAUCACCAAUCUGAACCAUAGAUUAAAAAAUCAAUGGUUAGAUUCAUGAAACCACUCUCACCCUUUUGAAACUCUUUCACUCUCACUCUCACUUUAACACUCUCACUUUACCACUCAUUCUCACGGCGCCUCUCCUUCUCACGGCUAAGCGCCUCUCCGUCUCACGGCGCCUCUCAUUCUCACAUACAUUCAUUCACGGUGUUUGCUGUCCUGAUUCUGAAGCUGUCCUGAUUCUGCCUCUCUCUCAUUGAGUCAUUGGUGUUUGCUGCCAUAAAUGCUCCAAAUUCAGUAAUGGAGCAAGGGUUUGGAAAUUAUGAUGAGCACACUAUAGAUUCUCAAGACACUUUUCAGAAUCAAGAUUCUUCUCAACAACAAGUCACUAACACUAGUGGUAGUAAGCGUCAACGAACAUAAGAUGUGUGGAGGCAUGAAUUGCUAAAGCCUUAUUAUGCCAACUCUAUCUUAUUUUGGUACGAAGUAUGCUAACAGUUUGAGACACUUGAAUUUGUCCUAUCCAAGUUCCAAAAUUUCCAUCUUUGACUGUUCUUGAGAAACCGGUAGUCUGCAGGUUUAAUGAUAAGUUUGGAAUAUUGUGUGUGGCUCUUUAGAAAAAUUGAUAAGUUUGGAAUAUAUGCUAAAUAUAUUCUAAGAUUUCUAAUAUUUAAUCCAUUUAAUUAUAUAAAAAAGUUUGUACUAUUCAAAAUAAAAAAAAUAAAACAGUUUGUAAACGGUCGAUUUAGAAGCGGUUUGGUUCAUAAACGGUUCGGUUUACAACCAGUUCGGUUUUUAAAUGGUUCGGUGCAAACGGGUAGCAGUUUGCUAACGGUUUGGUGUAAGCGGUUUUUUUUGCCAGUUUAAACGGUUUCGGGUUAGAUACGGUUCGGUUCUUUUUCGGUUCGGUUUUCUUUCAGUUCAGUUUAUAUUCGGUUCGGUUUGUUAACGGGUUCGGUUCUUAAACGGUUUACCAUUACUCGGGUUGAUUCGGUUUCGGGUUUACUAAAAUACGGUUCGGGUCGGUUUUCGGUUUCAAAAAAACCGGUUUUUAAUCGGUUCGGUUCUCAUUUGGAUCGGUCGGUUUCGGGCAAUUAAACGGUUUCGGUUUGAAAUUUGACAGCACUACUUAUGGUAAAUUAUCUAAUCGACACUAAGACACUACAUUUGGUUUGGACCAAUAACUUGAGGACAAACAACUACAAAUUCGAAUUAAAUUAUA